UCCCUGACAGUCCAUUGUUUAGGACUCAGCACUCCCACUGCCAAGGACCUAGGUUCAAUCCCUGGUCAAGGAA
rnacentral:tRNA from 1 species